rnacentral:rRNA from 1 species
AUUGAACGCUGGCGGCAUGCUUUACACAUGCAAGUCGAACGGUAACAGGGAGCUUGCUCCGCUGACGAGUGGCGAACGGGUGAGUAAUGCGUCGGAACGUGCCGAGUAGUGGGGGAUAACGCAUCGAAAGGUGUGCUAAUACCGCAUACGUACUGAGGUAGAAAGUGGGGGACCUUCGGGCCUCACGCUAUUCGAGCGGCCGACGUCUGAUUAGCUAGUUGGUGAGGUAAAGGCUCACCAAGGCGACGAUCAGUAGCGGGUCUGAGAGGAUGAUCCGCCACACUGGGACUGAGACACGGCCCAGACUCCUGCGGGGGGCAGCGGUGGGGAAUUUUGGACAAUGGGCGCAAGCCUGAUCCAGCCAUGCCGCGUGUCUGAAGAAGGCCUUCGGGUUGUAAAGGACUUUUGUCGGGGAGGAAAUCCCCAGCGUUAAUACCGCUGGGGGAUGACAGUACCUGAAGAAUAAGCACCGGCUAACUACGUGCCAGCCGCCGCCGUAACAC